UACGGAGGGGGCUAGCGUUGUUCGGAAUUACUGGGCGUAAAGCGCACGUAGGCGGAUAUUUAAGUCAGGGGUGAAAUCCCGGGGCUCAACCCCGGAACUGCCUUUGAUACUGGGUAUCUGGAGGUCGAGAGAGGCGAGUGGAAUUCCGAGUGUAGGGGUGAAAUUCGUAGAUAUUCGGAGGAACACCAGUGGCGAAGGCGGCUCGCUGGCUCGAUACUGACGCUGAGGUGCGAAAGCCAGGGGAGCAAACGGG
rnacentral:rRNA from 1 species